rnacentral:rRNA from 1 species
UGGGGGAUAUUGCACAAUGGGCGAAAGCCUGAUGCAGCGACGCCGCGUGGGGGAUGAAGGCCUUCGGGUUGUAAACUUCUUUUGCUCUGAACAAGGCAUGCUAAUGGGUGUGUUGAGUGUAGGGGUUGAUUAGCGCCGGCUAACUACGUGCCAGCAGCCGCGGUAAUACGUAGGGCGCGAGCGUUGUCCGGAAUUAUUGGGCGUAAAGGGCUUGUAGGUGGCUGGUUGCGUCUGUCGUGAAAGCUCAUGGCUUAACUGUGGGUUUGCGGUGGGUACGGGCUGGCUUGAGUGCAGUAGGGGAGGCUGGAAUUCCUGGUGGAGCGGUGGAAUGCGCAGAUAUCAGGAGGAAUACCGGUGGCGAAGGCGGGUCUCUGGGCUGUUACUGACACUGAGGAGCGAAAGCAUGGGGAGCGAACAGG